rnacentral:rRNA from 1 species
UACGGAGGGUGCAAGCGUUAUUCGGAUUCACUGGGCGUAAAGGGUGCGCAGGCGGUUGGGUGUGUCAGAUGUGAAAUCCCGAGGCUUAACCUCGGAACUGCGUCUGAAACUACUCGACUAGAGUACUGGAGAGGGAAACGGAAUUCACGGUGUAGCAGUGAAAUGCGUAGAUAUCGUGAGGAACACCCGUGGCGAAGGCGGCUCUCUGGGACGGUACUGACGCUGAGACGCGAAAGCGUGGGGAGCGAACAGG